rnacentral:misc_RNA from 1 species
UGUGGGAGCGAGCCUGCUCGCGAUAGCGUCGGCACAUUCAGCAUCCAUGUGACUGACAAACCGCUAUCGCGAGCAAGCUCGCUCCCACA